CGCACUAGCGUCUCUUUGCUCUCUUUGACGUUCGUUGUGCUGAAGUAGGUUAGUAGAGUAAACAUGUCUCCAGAAAGUUUUCUUUUAAUUUAAAAUAAAGUUACAUUGUUUAAACGCUUAUAUAGUUGUUAGUACUGUCUGUAAUUUAAAUAUUACUUAUUCUUGAAUGAGCUUACAGUUAGAAAACUGAUUUUGUGCAUGGAGCUGGCUUUCAAAAUGGCCGCCACCUCGUGGCGUCCUGUUUAUUAUUACAGCUUCUCUGUAAUCUCUGUGAAGCGGUUUUUUUCUUUGUUGUUUUUUUUUAGUAAAACUCAUUCUGUUUGGCUUUUUAGCUUUGCGGAUAUGGGCCUCAGCUGCAGACGUGGUGAAAAUGGCAUUACAGAAUGGUCUGAAGAUGGCACCUAGCUGUUUUUGUUCUCUUAUUGGUGUCUAGAAGUUGAGUUUUCACCAGGAUGGAGGUUUUUGUACCCCAAGUGUGAAAGAUUGCUUCAGAUUGUGUUGCUGUGCCAGUGGAGCCAGUGAUGUGCUGUACCUUCAACAUUAUUCAUGAUGCUUUUAAAAAUGCUCCCACGUUGGUGUGGGUUGAUGUUGCAACUGAUCUAAAUAAAGCUCUGAAAUGUGAAUGAAGACUGCCUGAUUUUUAGUGUACUUAUGAAUGUUGAUCUUUUGGGUUUCUUAGACAUUGUACUUUUUUUUUCUUUUCUUUUUUUUAAAUCAAGGAAACUCCAGAAUAUUCACUGGGAUCUUGCGAUUUUUCAAAAUUAAUACAGAUGUUCUGCAGAUUUUGGGUGUUGAGCUUGAGUACAGCUCAAAGGUCUCAUUUACCAACAAUCACUGUGAAAGACUGUGCAAAACAACUUCAUGCAGUUGCAAUUUCACCAAUUCAAGUAGCUUUCUGCAAAAAAGCACAAAACUGCAAAUUGUGUUGUAAAUGUUGGACGGGGGAAAAAAGCUGCAGGGAUUUUGGCUGCAUGAUUCACAAAUAAAAACUCGUUGAAAUCCUGUACGGACCAAUGUACAGCACCUUGUAAUGAGUGUUGCUGGCAUGUUUAGCACUGCCUGAUAUUACACAUACUUGCCUUUAUUUUGUUUGUCAUGUGUCUGACUUCCUGUUUUACCUGGUUUUUAGACCCCUGUCCCCACAGUUUCCUCAUCUUCUGAUCAUAUGUUAAUGACUGCAAACAUAAACCUCU
ensembl:lncRNA